CGUAGUUGAAGUUAUUACUCAAGGAUGGAUAAGUUCAAACUGUACGUGAUCCUCACGGGAGCGAUACUGGUCACAGCAGAAGAGAGAGAGAGCGCGUGCACGAAGCUGUUUUGGACAUAAAGUUUACCAGUUUAUGAAGCACCCCCGAAAAGGCAUAAGGCAUUCUACUGACUAUAAGUAACAAUGCAAGUACAUGUCAAAUUAAAGGAGCCAGGGAAAAGAUGACGGUGGGAGGAGCCAGGGAGUAACCCCCAGCAGGAGCACCAGGAUGCAGGGGCCAAAGAACUGGUUCACCGAGGCCAUCUUCAUCCGACCGGUUCUGGUGGCUUUUCCGUGAUUCAUCAGCUGGCUACUUGGAUGGGGCACCUGCGUCAAAAGACUUUGUUUUAUCAUGUUCUAAUAAAAUAAAGCUUAUUACACAAAUUCCAA